CAGUCCGCGCGUCGGGCGACUGCGGGGUCCUGGGGCGCCCAGGGGUGGGCCCUGUGGGGCCGCGCAGUGUCUGGACCCGCAGGCCCCAGCAAGGGCUGGUCGAGGCAGAAUUUUCGGCUCUGCUCCCAGCCCUGCUGAUGCAAACCUUCGUGGAGUCCUGCCUCUGAGCAGUUAGGAGGUACUGCUCCUCGGAUCGCCUGAUCAUCCUCGCUGAAGAGCAAGCCCACUCUUCAGAACAUGUUCGAGGGAGUUUUAGAAAGCAAGUACAACUCUGAUGUAACCGUUCGCAUCCUUCUUGGCUUUUUUUGCUAUCACAAAUGACAUUUGCUUUGGCUUGAAGUCUGCCAAAAUACAGAGAUGAAAUUCUGCAGAAGCUGGGUUAGUGAAAGAGCCACUCACCACAAGGUCCUUGAUCUUGGAAGGGGUGGGAGAGACAACUAAGUGAGGAUGGGAUCUCCUGCUCUCAUUCAAAGGUCUCUUUAAUUCAUCUAGUGUAGGGGGCCCUGCCCCCCCGCUGGAACUCUUGAGUGCCUUCUACGGACAUGCCCGGGCUUGCUGCAAAUCUACCCAGCAACAAGGAAGUAGCCCCAGUACACUCCUCUUGCUCCUCCCCUCUCGCCCUACGGUAUAUAUGUUGUAACAGCUUCCGCAAUAAACGAGACUUGAUCAGAAACCUGUCUUGUCUCCAUCUCUCGUGUCCCCUGUCCCCUCUCAUCCUCGCUCCCCCUCUGGGGUCUCCGUUGACUUACCCGCGGGCCGGGACAAGUGGCGCCCAACGUGGGGCCAGAGAACGGGGGAUCCAGUGAAGGACGCUGCUCAGGGGCCCUAAGAUUAAGAUUGAGGAACAAAGAGCAUACUCGACACAGAAGAGGCUUGCGAUUGACGUGGACCUGCCGUCUUUUUGCACCUCGGGAACAUCGUCAUCAUUUAAAGUUUGGACCUCCG
rnacentral:lncRNA from 1 species